rnacentral:rRNA from 1 species
UCGAGCGCUGAUUACAGGGUAGCAAUAUUCUGUGGUCGGAGCGGCGCAAGGGUGCGUAACACGUGGGUAAUCUGCCAUGAAGUUUGGAAUAACUUGCUGAAAGGCGAGCUAAUACCGGAUGUGACAAUUUUGAGGCAUCUUGAGAUUGUCAAAGCUGGGGACCGUAAGGCCUGGCGCUUCAUGAUGAGCCCGCGGCCUAUCAGCUAGUUGGUGAGGUAACGGCUCACCAAGGCUAAGACGGGUAGCUGGUCUGAGAGGACGACCAGCCACACUGGAACUGAGACACGGUCCAGACACCUACGGGUGGCAGCAGUCGAGAAUUUUUCACAAUGGGCGCAAGCCUGAUGGAGCGACGCCGCGUGGGGGAUGAAUGGCUUCGGCCCGUAAACCCCUGUCAUUUGCGAACAAAUUGGUUCAAUUAACACCUGAACCAUUGAUAGUAGCGAAAGAGGAAGGGACGGCUAACUCUGUGCCAGCAGCCGCGGUAAUACAGAGGUCCCAAGCGUUGUUCGGAUUCACUGGGCGUAAAGGGUGCGUAGGUGGUUAGGUAAGUCGGAUGUGAAAUCUCCGAGCUCAACUCGGAAACUGCAUUGGAAACUACCUGGCUAGAGGGU